GCAGCCGCGGUAAUUCCAGCUCCAAUAGCGUAUAUUUAAGUUGUUGCAGUUAAAAAGCUCGUAGUUGGACUUUGGGUUGGGUCGGCCGGUCCGCCUAUGGUGUGCACUGUCCUUGGGUGGGUCCUACCUUCUGGCGAAGCGGCAUGGCCUUAGUUGGUUGUGUCGGGGAACCAGGACUUUUACUGUGAAAAAAUUAGAGUGUUCAAAGCAGGCAAAUAUGCUCGAAUACAUUAGCAUGGAAUAAUGGAAUAGGACGAUGGUUCUAUUUUGUUGGUUCUAGGACCGUUGUAAUGAUUAAUAGGGAUAGUUGGGGGCAUUAGUAUUCAAUUGUCAGAGGUGAAAUUCUUGGAUUUAUUGAAGACUAACUACUGCGAAAGCAUUUGCCAAGGAUGUUUUCAUUAAUCAAGAACGAAAGUUAGGGGAUCGAAGACGAUCAGAUACCGUCGUAGUCUUAACCAUAAACUAUGCCGACUAGGAAUCGGGCGAUGUUGACAAAAUGACUCGCUCGGCACCUCAUG
rnacentral:rRNA from 1 species